rnacentral:rRNA from 1 species
UGGGGAAUAUUGCACAAUGGGGGAAACCCUGAUGCAGCCAUGCCGCGUGUGUGAAGAAGGCCUUCGGGUUGUAAAGCACUUUCAGCGAGGAGGAAAGGUUGGUCGCUAAUAACGGCCAACUGUGACGUUACUCGCAGAAGAAGCACCGGCUAACUCCGUGCCAGCAGCCGCGGUAAUACGGAGGGUGCAAGCGUUAAUCGGAAUUACUGGGCGUAAAGCGCACGCAGGCGGUUUGUUAAGUCAGAUGUGAAAUCCCCGGGCUCAACCUGGGAACUGCAUUUGAAACUGGCAAGCUUGAGUCUUGUAGAGGGGGGUAGAAUUCCAGGUGUAGCGGUGAAAUGCGUAGAGAUCUGGAGGAAUACCGGUGGCGAAGGCGGCCCCCUGGACAAAGACUGACGCUCAGGUGCGAAAGCGUGGGGAGCAAACA